rnacentral:rRNA from 1 species
UGAACGCUAGCUACAGGCUUAACACAUGCAAGUCGAGGGGCAGCAUGGUCUUAGCUUGCUAAGGCCGAUGGCGACCGGCGCACGGGUGAGUAACACGUAUCCAACCUGCCGUCUACUCUUGGACAGCCUUCUGAAAGGAAGAUUAAUACAAGAUGGCAUCAUGAGUCCGCAUGUUCACAUGAUUAAAGGUAUUCCGGUAGACGAUGGGGAUGCGUUCCAUUAGAUAGUAGGCGGGGUAACGGCCCACCUAGUCUUCGAUGGAUAGGGGUUCUGAGAGGAAGGUCCCCCACAUUGGAACUGAGACACGGUCCAAACUCCUACGGGAGGCAGCAGUGAGGAAUAUUGGUCAAUGGGCGAGAGCUUGAACCAGCCAAGUAGCGUGAAGGAUGACUGCCCUAUGGGUUGUAACCUUCUUUUAUAAAGGAAUAAAGUCGGGUAUGGAUACCCGUUUGCAUGUACUUUAUGAAUAAGGAUCGGCUAACUCCGUGCCAGCAGCCGCGGUAAUACGGAGGAUCCGAGCGUUAUCCGGAUUUAUUGGGUUUAAAGGGAGCGUAGAUGGAUGUUUAAGUCAGUUGUGAAAGUUUGCGGCUCAACCGUAAAAUUGCAGUUGAUACUGGAUAUCUUGAGUGCAGUUGAGGCAGGCGGAAUUCGUGGUGUAGCGGUGAAAUGCUUAGAUAUCACGAAGAACUCCGAUUGCGAAGGCAGCCUGCUAAGCUGCAACUGACAUUGAGGCUCGAAAGUGUGGGUAUCAAACAGGAUUAGAUACCCUGGUAGUCCACACGGUAAACGAUGAAUACUCGCUGUUUGCGAUAUACUGCAAGCGGCCAAGCGAAAGCGUUAAGUAUUCCACCUGGGGAGUACGCCGGCAACGGUGAAACUCAAAGGAAUUGACGGGGGCCCGCACAAGCGGAGGAACAUGUGGUUUAAUUCGAUGAUACGCGAGGAACCUUACCCGGGCUUAAAUUGCAGAUGAAUUACGGUGAAAGCCGUAAGCCGCAAGGCAUCUGUGAAGGUGCUGCAUGGUUGUCGUCAGCUCGUGCCGUGAGGUGUCGGCUUAAGUGCCAUAACGAGCGCAACCCUUGUUGUCAGUUACUAACAGGUUCCGCUGAGGACUCUGACAAGACUGCCAUCGUAAGAUGUGAGGAAGGUGGGGAUGACGUCAAAUCAGCACGGCCCUUACGUCCGGGGCUACACACGUGUUACAAUGGGGGGUACAGAGGGCCGCUACCACGCGAGUGGAUGCCAAUCCCCAAAACCUCUCUCAGUUCGGACUGGAGUCUGCAACCCGACUCCACGAAGCUGGAUUCGCUAGUAAUCGCGCAUCAGCCACGGCGCGGUGAAUACGUUCCCGGGCCUUGUACACACCGCCCGUCAAGCCAUGGGAGCCGGGGGUACGUGAAGUGCGUAACCGCGAGGAGCGCCCUAGGGUA